UCAUCUUCGGGGGUAGAGCACUGUUUCGGCUAGGGGGUCAUCCCGACUUACCAACCCGAUGCAAACUACGAAUACCGAAGAAUGUUAUCACGGGAGACACACGGCGGGUGCUAACGUUCGUCGUGAAGAGGGAAACAACCCAGACCGCCAGCUAAGGUCCCAAAGUCAUGGUUAAGUGGGAAACGAUGUGGGAAGGCACAGACAGCCAGGAUGUUGGCUUAGAAGCAGCCAUCAUUUAAAGAAAGCGUAAUAGCUCACUGGUCGAGUCGGCCUGCGCGGAAGAUGUAACGGGGCUAAACCAUGCACCGAAGCUGCGGCAGCGACACUUAGGUGUUGUUGGGUAGGGGAGCGUUCUGUAAGCCGUCGAAGGUGGCCUGUGAGGGCUGCUGGAGGUAUCAGAAGUGCGAAUGCUGACAUAAGUAACGAUAAUGCGGGUGAAAAACCCGCACGCCGGAAGACCAAGGGUUCCUGUCCAACGUUAAUCGGGGCAGGGUGAGUCGACCCCUAAGGCGAGGCUGAAAAGCGUAGUCGAUGGGAAACAGGUUAAUAUUCCUGUACUCGGUGUUACUGCGAAGGGGGGACGGAGAAAGCUAGGUUAUCCGGGCGACGGUUGUC
rnacentral:rRNA from 2 species